GUUGGCGGCGUGCCUAACACAUGCAAGUCGUACGAUCCUUAAGUGGCUUGCCAUUUAAGGAGAGUGGCGAACGGGUGAGUAACACGUGAGUAAUCUGCCCCUAAGUGAGGAAUAACUCCGCGAAAGCGGGGCUAAUACCGCAUAAAACUCUGGAGCACAUGCUUUCAGAGUCAAAGCCCUCGGGUGCUUAGGGAUGAGCUCGCGCCCUAUUAGCUAGUUGGUGGGGUAAUGGCCUACCAAGGUAAUGAUGGGUAGCCGGCCUGAGAGGGUGUACGGCCACACUGGAACUGCGACACGGUCCAGACUCCUACGGGAGGCAGCAGUGGGGAAUUUUGC
rnacentral:rRNA from 1 species